GAACAGAAGAAGACAUAUGAGGAAGUUUUGCCGCGUUUCUUUGUUUUGGAUCUUCAUGCUCAAUUUUUUUGACGUUUCGAUACUUCAGAAACCGUUUAUUUCGCUUACGAAUAACGAGCUAAAUGCAAUGUUAUGAUUCUGUUUUGAUUGAACGCAUAUGAGCUAAUUUAGUAUACAGCGUCUCUGUCGACUAGCUACUGUAGCUAGUUAACGGUAGUUAGCAACACAGGAGCCUUGAUGUCAGUCGCUAAUUGUUGCUCAUAUCAUGGAUGGUGAAAACAACCCCUGCCUGCUGCUCUCCUUUACCACGCCUAAAUCUGAGGGUCCUGAUUGUAACAGAGUGAACAGCAGGCUCCAGAGAUGGCAUCAGUGAAGCAGGAAGACUGCAGUCAAACACUGGGACUGAAUGUCAACAUUAAAGAUGAAGUAAAGGAGGAAGAGAUUGAAACAUUUGUGUAUCAUGGGCCGGCUGGAGAGUUCAAAGAAAACACGGAAGAACACCAAGUCUUACUACUCAAAGGAGAAGGACCUGACUAUGCUGAACAUAAGGUUGAAGUUGAAACGUCCAGAGCGCAACACCGUGUAGAAAGCAAAGCUAAGGAGUCUAACCACUGCCCACACUGUGACAAGAGUUUCCCAUUCCCAUCAUAUCUUGAAAGACACCUGCGGAAACAUACUGGAGAGAAGCCUUAUUCCUGCUCUGUCUGUGGGAAGUGCUUCAGGACGUCAACUCAUUUAACCACUCACCGGGGAGUUCACACAGGGGAGAAACCUUACUCCUGCUCUGACUGUGGAAAGUGUUUCUCUCUUGUAAGUAACUUUAAACAACAUCAGCGAACGCAUUCUGGAGAGAAACCUUACUCCUGCUCCGAUUGUGGAGACAGUUUUUCUCAACAUGGUAACAUGCGGCGUCACCAGAAAAGACACACUGGAGAGAAACCUUACUCCUGCUCCGAUUGCGGGAAGAGUUUCAUUACAACAUCUGAAUUAAUCAGUCACCAGAGAGUGCACACAGGAGAGAAACCUUUCCACUGUUCUGUCUGUGGGCAGAAUUACUUUAGCCUGAGUAACUUAAUACGCCACCAGAGAAUACACACCUAGGACAGAAGCCAUAUUCCUGCUUGACUGUGUGACGUGCUUCAAAACCUAAUCUGAACAAGAAGUCUUCACGAAUCCACCCGUUCCUGGAAUACCCGAGAACCGAUCCGGGACAUGAGCAGAUCUGGAUCCAGAAUUCCGAAUAAUGUUACAGGUCUGGUUCGGAUCUGAUUUGAUUGGGUCUCGGAUAUGUGUAAUUUAACUGACUUGUCCGGAAGGGCCCGUACAGAUCCGAACUCAACUACACACACAGAGACAGAGACAGAGAGAGAAUUAUGAUGAUGCAGGAAGCUCCUC